CCCCUCCCUCCAUGAUGAAUUUCCCUGAAAUGGAGUUAUGCACCAUAAAAUGAGGAAAAUGGCUCUUUCAAUGGACUGUAAUGACUUUGUUGUUGCUAGGAUGGAGGCCUUGUAGUGUGAUGUACAGAAAGACGGGCCAUUAUUUCAACAGGUUUCAUUUCACACUGGAUCCCUGUUUUGGUGUUGACCAUUACUUUAUAAUAAUUGAUGUCCUGUUCAUGGCAGAAAUGGAAUCUCUCUAUCUAUCUUUCUCUGUCUCACACACGCAGGCACGCUCUCUCAAAUAAGCACGCACUCGUUCUCGCGCUCUCUCGCUCUUACUCUCUAUUUCCCCUCUCCAAUUACUUUUUGCGGUUUUCCACAGAAGUUAAAGAAAUGCAAUGUCAGAUAAACAACUGAUGGCAAAUAUGAAGCAUUCUGCCAGAUAGACUACAAUGUGCAGAUUGCAGACGUGUACCGCGAGUGCAGUGUACCAGUGGCGCCAUCUACAAGGUGAGCAAAGAAGAAUUCGACACAGCUCCGGACUCUCUCUCGGAGGAAUACGGAGUGAGGAUUACACAGUUUCCUCAACGAAUCAGUUGUACUAUAGACAAUGUCGUGGAGGUAAAUUGACACCGAACCUACCUGAAUGUGGGCAGAGCCUGAGGCCUGAGUUAACAGAUCGCCUGCUGCUGCUGUGUGCGUGGCACGGAUCGUCAGUGACUGUCAUGGAGGAAGUGUGGGACCCAACUGUGAAAUGGGAGACGGCUGUUUGACAUGUGAAGCCCACCUGGAGAAAAUGUCUGCUUUCAGGCCUGGAUAUAAGGAAUUACUCAACAAGAAGGAAACGUCACUGUAGGGAAUGUCGUUUUCCCUCUUCCCUUCUCAUUAACAACAACAUGUC
rnacentral:lncRNA from 1 species